rnacentral:rRNA from 1 species
CCUACGGGAGACAGCAGUGGGGAAUAUUGGGCAAUGGGCGCAAGCCUGAACCAGCAACGCCGCGUGAGGGAAGACGGUUUUCGGAUUGUAAACCUCUGUCCUCUGUGAAGAUGAUGACGGUAGCAGAGGAGGAAGCUCCGGCUAACUACGUGCCAGCAGCCGCGGUAAUACGUAGGGAGCGAGCGUUGUCCGGAUUUACUGGGUGUAAAGGGUGCGUAGGCGGCUUGGCAAGUCAGUAGUGAAAUCCAUGGGCUUAACCCAUGAACUGCUAUUGAAACUGUCGAGCUUGAGUGAAGUAGAGGUAGGCGGAAUUCCCGGUGUAGCGGUGAAAUGCGUAGAGAUCGGGAGGAACACCAGUGGCGAAGGCGGCUUACUGGACUGUAACUGACGUUGAGGCUCGAAAGCGUGGGGAGCAAACAGGAUUAGAUACCCCAGUAGUC